CCUGGCUCAGUACGAACGCUGGCGGCAGGCCUAACACAUGCAAGUCGAGCGAGAACUUCGGUUCUAGCGGCGGACGGGUUAGUAACGCGUGGGAACGUGCCCUUCACUACGGAAUAGUCCCGGGAAACUGGGUUUAAUACCGUAUACGCCCUUCGGGGGAAAGAAUUUCGGUGAAGGAUCGGCCCGCGUUAGAUUAGAUAGUUGGUGGGGUAACGGCCUACCAAGUCUACGAUCUAUAGCUGGUUUUAGAGGAUGAUCAGCAACACUGGGACUGAGACACGGCCCAGACUCCUACGGGAGGCAGCAGUGGGGAAUCUUAGACAAUGGGCGCAAGCCUGAUCUAGCCAUGCCGCGUGAGUGAUGAAGGCCUUAGGGUCGUAAAGCUCUUUCGCCAGGGAUGAUAAUGACAGUACCUGGUAAAGAAACCCCGGCUAACUCCGUGCCAGCAGCCGCGGUAAUACGGAGGGGGUUAGCGUUGUUCGGAAUUACUGGGCGUAAAGCGCGCGUAGGCGGAUUGGAAAGUUGGGGGUGAAAUCCCAGGGCUCAACCCUGGAACUGCCUCCAAAACUAUCAGUCUAGAGUUCGAGAGAGGUGAGUGGAACUCCGAGUGUAGAGGUGAAAUUCGUAGAUAUUCGGAAGAACACCAGGGC
rnacentral:rRNA from 1 species